AUGGAUAACAUAAACAGCAGUAACCUUUUCAAAGGAUUGAGUAUGAUAACUUUAAAGAAUCAAGUUCAUUCCAGAAGGCAGCUUUCUUCAGACGAUGUAUUAAAACAGGAUGCCUCUGCCAAGUGUCAGCCAUGAAGCCUCCACAUCUUUAAGAACCUGAGAAAGAACAUCUUUAAGCUAGACAGACGUUAGCCUUGAAACUGAGGUGACAAAAAGAGCUCCUACCUGAAAAUUUCCAAGCAAAGGUUCAAAGAGAGAACAUUCAAGAAGCACACAGUUUUGCAGGAAGCUUCAAAAAUGAAUUAAAUUCAUGUGGUGUGCAUUUCGUCAGCUAGUAACUGAGUAGUUUCUCAGAUCAGCAGGUAUAUCAGCAGGAUGAUAACUAUAAAAACUGUAUCUACAUCUGUAUGUGAGGUCCUGUGAUCGUCAUGAGGGCUCUGCCCCAAGAGCAAAAUAUCAAGUUCUUUUUUUCCCAGCAGUUACAGGCAGGACAAAGGUUGGACCAUCAUCAGAGAUAAAAUAAAGAGAGGCAAAAAGAGUUACUUGAAUUUGGCAUUCUGCAGUAAGCGAUACACAAGAAGAGUGAAAUGGAGGCCGAAGAUGGCACGUUUUAGAGACUUGAAGAAUAUGAUAUCUGACUUGAACUUGUCUCAACGCUGAGUUUGACAACAGUUUUACUCCUUGCAUGAUGUACAUGCUCACAGAUAUGGUGGAUCUGAUCAUGCUGUGGGGCAGGAGGAAGAGAAGCCCCUGGAGUCCUUGCAGUUAGUUUUUCUGUGAUUCUGUGAUUACCAGACAAAUUCCUGGAAGGAGAUGAAUUUGAAUGUGAAUUUAACAUCUGUUGAAGAUGAGGAAAAGAGUCAGUCGGCCUAAAACAUGGAGUAGUUUUAUAGGCAAAAUUAAAAGCAUAGAAUGGAAAGCAUGACUGUACAAGGGUUCACACCCUCCAGUGAGAGUGAAAGAUGAUGCAGACCUAUUAAUGCUCGAGAGGAUAUCCAGUUGGUUGUGAGUGGGUUUCUCACUCAGCUCCAGCACUGUGGCCCAGACCUCCAGUUACGUCUGUAGCCCUACGGCUUUGCAUAGCUGUUCUCAGAGGAGGGUAGGUUUUAAAAGCAGUACAGAUUCCCUAGCUCUCAAAGCGGAUAGGCUCAGCUGGAGAACACUGCCAUGAUGGCACACAGGCUGCACCCAACACUGUGCCAAGUCACUCUCCAUUUGUAAAUACUAGAAUGUGCUGUAGUUAGAAAUACAGCAAAAGAAAAGUCUAAAUUGCAUGGCUGAGAAACAACAAAGGAAAACAAAUGUAAACCAGAAAACAGUGCAUGCAAAGCCAUGCGUGCUGUAGGUCUGUGGUCUUGCUAUUGCACAGUAAAGAAAAUAAAUACCAACAAGAACAG
rnacentral:lncRNA from 7 species